rnacentral:rRNA from 1 species
AAAUUGAAGAGUUUGAUCAUGGCUCAGAUUGAACGCUGGCGGCAGGCCUAACACAUGCAAGUCGAACGGUAACAGGAAGCAGCUUGCUGCUUCGCUGACGAGUGGCGGACGGGUGAGUAAUGUCUGGGAAACUGCCUGAUGGAGGGGGAUAACUACUGGAAACGGUGGCUAAUACCGCAUAAUGUCGCAAGACCAAAGAGGGGGACCUUCGGGCCUCUUGCCAUCAGAUGUGCCCAGAUGGGAUUAGCUUGUUGGUGAGGUAACGGCUCACCAAGGCGACGAUCCCUAGCUGGUCUGAGAGGAUGACCAGCCACACUGGAACUGAGACACGGUC